AUUGAACGCUGGCGGCAGGCCUAACACAUGCAAGUCGAACGAGCGGCGGACGGGUGAGUAAUGUAUGGGGACUGCCUGAUCGAGGGGGAUAACUACUGGAACCGGUAGCUAAUACCGCAUACUAUCGGAUGACCCAUAUGGGAUUAGCUAGUAGGUGAGGUAAUGGCUCACCUAGGCGACGAGCCCUAGCUGGUCUGAGAGGAUGAUCAGCCACACGGGGACUGAGACACGGCCCAGACCCCUACGGAGGCAGCAGUGGGGAAUAGUGCACAAUGGGCGAAAGCCUGAUGCAGCCAUGCCGCGUGUAUGAAGAAGGCCUUAGGGUUGUAAAGUACUUUCAGUCGGGAGGCGUUACCGACAGAAGAAGCACCGGCUAACUACGUGCCAGCAGCCGCGGUAAUUC
rnacentral:rRNA from 1 species